CCCCGAGGCCGCCAGCCAACACAGCCCCAAGGGACUGGCAGCAGCAAGCUGCUGGGGCGGCGAAGGCCAGCCUGGCCAACAGCAGGACAUUUCAAAGGCCACGUGUCCAGGGUACAGAUGCGGAUCAGAGGUCCCACACAUAACGGAGAAGAUUCUCACGGUAGUUCUGAUGCCGCCUGUCAGACUCUGCAUGCACUGCCUCCGUAACUGGAGCGGGCCUCAGCCCUGCCAGGAACGUUGGCCUGGCUCACGGAAGACCCACAUACUCCCGGAGGUGAAAGGCUUGUCCAGGAUUCAAAACUUAGGUCUGUCUGCCACUUCCAGCAUCCUUCCUGUAGUGUAAUCUGUCUUCACCCAACAUCCUGAGACCUCACAAGGACUCAGGUGGUCCCUGGAACACAUCUGGCUCAGAGUGAGUGAGGGGUAAACAUCUGUUGAAUUAACAGUUGAUGUAGGAAUUAUACCUUUCCUUUCCUGUUUCAUCAGCAUCUGCCUGGAACUCAGGUCACCGGUCCAUGUCUGCUCCUGAACUUUCUGUAAGUUCUCACGGUUCUUCAAAAUUCCCAGAGAAAAAGGUGACAAAAGGCAGACGGGAAAUUGAAGGGAUCUAAUUUCUACUUUGAAGUUCUGGAUUUACCUUCUCAAGUGUAAAGCCAGGAAGGGGGACCUACCCUGCCAGGCAGGUCAGAGGGAUCAGAUUGCCCUCCUUAUGUGGGUGAGCAUCACUGAAGCAGUUGAAGGCCUGAAUAGAAGACUGACUCUCUGCAGAGUAAGACAGAAUUGUCCAUCAGACGACUUCAGACCUCACCUGUCUACGUCAGUUCACCCUGCCUGAUGGCCUUCAAAUUGAAAUACUGGUUCUCUGUGGGUCUCCAACCUGCCUGCUUGACUCCAUAAUUGUGAGCCAAUUUCUCAUGAUAAAUCAUGAUAUGAGCUUUGCAACAUAUAUAAAACAUGAUAAAUCCUGUUUUAUAUAUA